rnacentral:rRNA from 1 species
UGCCAGCAGCCGCGGUAAUACGUAUGGUCCUAGCGUUGUCCGGAAUAACUGGGCGUAAAGGGUGUGUGAGGCUGAUAUACGUGUCAGGUGUGAAAUCCCUCGGCUUAACCGGGGCAUUGCGCUUGAAACUGUAUAUCUAGAGCGUGUCAGGGGUAAGCGGAAUUCCCGGAGUAGCGGUGAAAUGCGUAGAUAUCGGGAAGAACACCGGUGGCGAAGGCGGCUUACUGGGACAUGACUGACGCUGAGGAACAAAAGCGUGGGGAGCAAACGGCAUUAGAUA